rnacentral:pre_miRNA from 1 species
CAACUACUCGCUCUGUCCCAAAUUUCUUGUCUUAGAUUUGUCUAGAUACGGAUGUAUCUAAUACUAAAAUGUGACUUGAUACAUCUGUAUCUAGACAAAUAUAAGACAAGAAUUUUGGGACGGAGGGAGUACUUU